GUGUUAACUGUGUUUUUUAAUCAUGUUUUUGUGUUUGUCAUUGAUUAACAAGUAGAAUAGGUCAUAUUGAUGUGUACAAUGUUUUUUUUAUUUUUUAUUUUAUUUUGAGCGCUUCGUAUACAUGAAGCUCUCGCUUCGCGCUUGAAGCUCGCUUAAAGCUUUUGGAACCAAAACGCUUCGGAGCGCUUCGCGCUUUUUUAAACAAAGAUCUGUGCUACACAGGUACCUUUUGUUAUAAAUACAUUAUUCAUAUUUUGUAAUUUAACUGUUUGUUUGCCAGUAUCUUUUACUCUUUUAGUUAACAUGGAGUACCUAUUAUGCACUUAUGCUUUUAGGAUCAGUGAUUUUUCAUAUUAUCAUCUAUUUUUUUUGGUUAUCCUGGUAUUAUCUAAACCAUACUUGUUAAUAGCGAAUAGCGAACAGUAGCGACAAGCUACCUAUACGCUACGUAGCAAUAACGAAGAAAUAGCGGGCACUAGUUAUGUUUAGCAUACACUAGAAGAUAACUUUAUAAAUAUUUUAUAUGUGUAUUUUAUCAGUUUCUUUACCAAAAUACGCUGUUUUCAUAUUUAAAAAAAAAAACGAAAAAAUUCUUCUAUUUUAUAGGCAUAUAUUAUCACUAUUUAUAUCAACACAAAAAACUAUAAUCCCGCUAUUUCCACUCUAUGGAGGCGCCAAAAUUAGAUUGUGGCCUGUAAUCUCAUUGCCACGCUAAACGCUAUAGCGAGCGCUAUGCUCGGAAUUAACAACACUGAUCUAAACAUUUCGGAAAUAUCUUUUUCCAGAUGUUGUAGUUGAUUAUGAUCAUGUCAGACCAUCUGAUAUUUUCAAAUGAUAUCUUAAAAGGCAAACAAUGUAGAUCAUUUUUGUCUCUAAUUGGCUUUGUUUUCAUAGGUAUGAGAAUUUGAUCAAGAUCAUUAAAGAUGACAUACAUAGACUGCUUAUAAAUUUAUCUAUACUGAUUUGGUUGCUUUUGUUAUGUAAUUGUUGGUUUUAAACAUGUAACAAGUUUAAGCCAUAUGAGUUGAUAGCUCUUGUAAUGUCCAAUGGAAUAUCAAUACGGAAAAUGUCAUCAAUGCGUCAUAUCCUGGCCAUAGUUGUUAAUGGCAAAUAGCGACAAAUAGUGAUAAGGUACCUAUAUGCUACAUAGUAAUAAAUAGCGGACUGCUAUUUUAUAAAGAGCGAUACAUUAGAAAAAUAAAUUUAAAAAUUUUAUAUGUAUAUUAUAUCUAAAUACCCUGGUAUGUAUGCUAUUUUACAUGUAUAUUUAACAAAAACCUAAAAUCCAUCUAUUUUAUAGGCUAUUAUGGUUGUAGCGGUAGAUAGCGAUAAUAGUGACACUUUUUUUUAAUUAUAAAUAGCAAUUAAAUAUAGCUAUAAUUUAUAGCUAUAUUUAAUUGCUAUUUAUAAUUAAAAAAAGUGUCACUAUUAUCGCUAUCUACCGCUACAACCAUAAUAGCAAGUCUAGACCUAUACGCUACGUAGCGCGAUAUAGCGAUCGCUACGCUCGCUAUUGACAACUAUGAUCCUGACCCUAAUGGAAGGUUCAGUUGAGAAAGUUGUUAUGUUUUCUUGAGAAAGUUAUUCAAGCUGUCUAAUACACCGAGUUAUAAACAAGUUUUGUAUAGGCAUUUAUUGCCUAAUGGAGAUAGAUAUGAUCAGGUGGUUUGGUUGAUGGCACGAUGAUACUCCAGUAGUCCAGUGGUCCGUCUGUUAUCCGAAUUUGUCAUUCAAACCAAAUAAGACCAAAGGGUGUGGGGGGAGUCCCAGGGUCGCCGAGGCACGUCUAGGGUUGUCCACACCGCCCCCGUCCCCAUCGUCCCCCAAUUGCCGCUUGCGACGGGCCCGCCUCUUUCUUAUCCAACACUACCACACCCUGGCCCAUCCAUUGGGGCUAAUCCCCCACACCCGAUGACAUGGCUACCUACGUGAACACUUAAGUUUCUAGGGUUUCCAGUGCCAUCAGAAUGAGCGAUACUCCAUUUGAGCAAACCGUCCCAGUUAGGUCCCUCUUUCGCCAUGAAGGAAAACGCAAACCCUAAUUAUUACUAUUAUUAUGCUGGGUUUUGUAUGGUGAGAUGAGAUAUAAUUGAUCG
rnacentral:lncRNA from 1 species